UACAGAGGGGGCAAGCGUUAUUCGGAAUUAUUGGGCGUAAAGGGCGCGUAGGCGGCUUCGCAAGUGGGGGGUGAAAUCCCUCGGCUUAACCGAGGAACUGCCCUCCAAACUGCGUUGCUUGAGUCCGGGAGAGGUGAGUGGAAUUCCCAGUGUAGCGGUGAAAUGCGUAGAUAUUGGGAGGAACACCAGUGGCGAAGGCGGCUCACUGGACCGGAACUGACGCUGAGGCGCGAAAGCGUGGGGAGCAAACGGG
rnacentral:rRNA from 1 species